rnacentral:lncRNA from 1 species
UUACAAACCAUUAAAUUAUCAGUAACGCGUUCUAAAAACGGGUUUGUAAUUGCAACUAUACCAAACAAGAUAAUAACUACCAUGAUAGGACAAGAACUAGAAAUUUCAAAGGAUGUACAACUAAUUUCAGUAGAUCAAUUUUUAAACUAAUUUGUCAAACCUAAAAUCAAAGACACUAAUCAAGCAUCAUCAUUCAUCAACAUCACUUCCAGCUGGGUGACCUUCCUAAAUCCCAGAAGCUAUGCCAGGGGGCUUAUUAGAGGUCAAUGUAGGGGCCAAGUAGUUUCAGCUAGAAGAAGGGGAUGAACCUCAUAGGGGUUAAAUAGGAGCAAUGAUGAAGAACAACUAUGGGUCUAGUAGACUGAUUAGAAGAGAAGAAAAGCUCAGCCAUAUAUGGCCAAACAAAAUACCCGAAACCAGUCACCUGUAGCAAAGUACUGAGGUUCUUAAAGAUAGUAACAGUUAGAGUGAAAGAGAGAGCUUCGGCUAAGAUAAGGCAGAGGAGAAGUAGCAGUUAAGGCAGACAAUUUUUCCUCUUACCAACCGAGUCAACUAUCACUUUCAAAUUAAAGAAAAGUUAAUGUUAAACUACCCCCUUUUUUAUUUAAAGCUGGUAUAUGGCUGUUAUAUGGAUUUGUUGACUGUUAUGUUGAUUUUGUCUGCUAUGUCAACUGUUAGAAAGUUUAAGUGUUGCUGUGAUUAUUGCUUUGUAUAGAUUGAGGCAUUACAUGAAGACCUUAAUAAAUCAAAAGCCAAAAGGCUGGGGAAAGUAGAUAGGAAACUAGUUGUUCUAUGUAAACAAAACUAAUGCUCACCAACUGUUUGAUAAAAUGCUAAUGUAAGGACUGUUUUAGUGUCAAGACAUACUAGCUAUGAAUUUAAGUCCAAAUCAUGUCUACUUGCUCAUAUGUUGAGAUGAAUGCCUCAAAUAUGUUUCUAUGCUUAAAUAUACCAUGUUGUAGUAUAACUUACAUGUUAUGAUAGUUUUAUAUAUGAAAAGAACUCAUUUUAAAUAGUAGAGUACCUUACUCCACGAUCGUAGAGUGCAACUCCAUGAUCAUAGAGCUCAACUAAAGAAUCAUUUGUAGACCCCCAGUUUGAAUCUCAAAUUUGAAUACUGUAAGUUGAUAUUUCCAAACCAAUGAAAGAAGAACUAAAUACCUGAUAGUGUGGUCAAUAUCCCUGUCUAAUUUGGAUAACUAUUGGAGCAAGAUAGGCAUUUGUAAAAAUCCCCAAAGUAGCC